rnacentral:rRNA from 1 species
AGUGAACGCUGGCGGUAGGCCUAACACAUGCAAGUCGAACGGCAGCACAGUAAGAGCUUGCUCUUACGGGUGGCGAGUGGCGGACGGGUGAGGAAUACAUCGGAAUCUACUUUUUCGUGGGGGAUAACGUAGGGAAACUUACGCUAAUACCGCAUACGACCUACGGGUGAAAGCAGGGGAUCUUCGGACCUUGCGCGAUUGAAUGAGCCGAUGUCGGAUUAGCUAGUUGGCGGGGUAAUGACCCACCAAGGCGACGAUCCGUAGCUGGUCUGAGAGGAUGAUCAGCCACACUGGAACUGAGACACGGUCCAGACUCCUACGGGAGGGAGCAGUGGGGAAUAGUGGACAAUGGGCGCAAGCCUGAUCCAGCCAUACCGCGUGGGUGAAGAAGGCCUUCGGGUUGUAAAGCCCUUUUGUUGGGAAAGAAAAGCAGCAGGUUAAUACGCCGCUGUUCUGACGGUACCCAAAGAAUAAGCACCGGCUAACUUCGUG